AGUGCUCAGGGGAUAUAAAAAUAAUGCAUUGUAUGCCGGAAGGGAUAAAUCUGGGGCUGAGUACAAGCAAAACAAGACCAAAGGAAGCUACCUGAGCAGUCACUGGAGCCCUAAUGAUCGCAGCCAUUUCAGGAAAUGCCAUCAAUUACAGUGAGGAGCUCAUUCAGAAGUGAAAGAUGAGUUCCAUUCUCUGUUACUUAGAGAUGUCAAGGAACUUUCCUCCUGAUUGAUUUUCUACAUGCUUUAUCUCUCAUCCAUCUAGUCCCCAUUUUCUCCUUUCACUGAACACAAUUAUUUCUGGAAAGAGUAUUACACUCAGUAUUCUGCAUUUCAUAUGGCAUUUCAAAGUCCUGAGAAUGACUCUCCGUAGUCUUCUAUGUACUAAUUAAACAUGAACAUGUGGUAAACAACAUGGACUAUUCCAGUGGACAGAAAGCGUCAAGUUAAAAUGUUUAAGUGCCCCAUAUUUUUCUAAGUAUUCUUAUCCAGUUGGUCUGACUGGUCAUUAUCUGUUUUGUAAAACUUCCCAAACAACUCAUCAAUAUUUAAAUAGCUAUCCAAAUUAUAAACUUCAAAUAGCAGAAUCCAAAUGUCAUUUAUGCAUAAUUCAAAAGAACUUUGCUGAAAACAAUCUUUGGAUUACAAUUGCUCUCUAAUCCACCUCUUGAAUUUCUACAUAAGAAUUCAAUGCCAAUGCAA
ensembl:lncRNA novel transcript